rnacentral:rRNA from 1 species
AGCUCCAAUAGCGUAUAUUAAAGUUGUUGCAGUUAAAAAGCUCGUAGUUGGAUUUGUGGUUGCCCCUGCGGUCUGUAUUAUUCAGCACUGUGGGGGUGGCCAUCCUUGGGUGGAACCUGUGUGGCAUUAGGUUGUCGUGCAGGGGAUGCCCAUCUUUUACUGUGAAAAAAUUAGAGUGUUCAAAGCAGGCUUACGCCGUUGAAUAUGUUAGCAUGGAAUAAUGAGAUAGGACCUCGGUACUAUUUUGUUGGUUUGCGCACCGAGGUAAUGAUUAAUAGGGACAGUUGGGGGUAUUCGUAUUCCAUUGUCAGAGGUGAAAUUCUUGGAUUUUUGGAAGACGAACUACUGCGAAAGCAUUUACCAAGGAUGUUUUCA